GGAUGUGAGGGCGAUCUGGCUGGGACAUCUGUCAACCCAUUGAUCACCAGGGUUGAUUCAGCUUAUCGGUUGGUCAGGCUGCUGUUGGGUGUCCCCUUCCUUCCUCACUGCUCCAUGUGCAUCCCUCCUGAAGCUACACGCUUGGUCGAAGAGGAUGACCUUCCCUGGUAGAGGAGGAUCCUUCUUCGGUCAAGGAUAUGCAAGUAGCUGCACUCUGCUAGAACCUCCAGACAAGCUGUCAGGGUCUGUUCAUAGGAGAAUGUAGGGUAGUCAAGCUUCCAAGAUUCCAGAUACAUGCAAGUGAGGGACUGCAUGCAGCAGUCUGCCUUAAAAA
rfam:Equus caballus chromosome 1, whole genome shotgun sequence.